rnacentral:rRNA from 1 species
UACAGAGGGUGCGAGCGUUAAUCGGAAUUACUGGGCGUAAAGCGUGCGUAGACGGCUAUCUAAGUCGGGUGUGAAAGCCCCGGGCUCAACCUGGGAAUUGCAUUCGAGACUGAAUAGCUAGGGUACGGUAGAGGGAAGCGGAAUUUCCGGUGUAGCGGUGAAAUGCGUAGAUAUCUGGAGGAAUACCGGUGGCGAAGGCGGCAUCCUGGACCGGCAUUGACGCUGAGGAGCGAAAGCUAGGGGAGCAAACGGGG